rnacentral:pre_miRNA from 1 species
GAUGUACUCCCUCUGUCCGGAAAUAUUUGUCACAAGAAUGGAUGUAUCUAGAUGUAUUUUAGUUCUAGAUACAUCCAUUUUUAUCCAUUUAUGUGACAAGUAAUUGUGGACGGAGGGAGUAUAAC